GUCAAAGUAUUUCUCAUUUAAAAAGUUUCAUUAGAAAGUUUCAACCAAUAUAGUUUCAUAUCUUAAGUUAUUCCAUCAUUUUUUAUUUUAAAUUUCAAUUUUUUGAUUAAAGAUCAGUUAAAGAAAAGCGUUGGUUGCAACUUCCAAAACGGGCUUUCUAGAAAGUGAGAAAUAUUUUGAUCAGAUUUUUAUAAUAUUUAACUUCUUCAGGAAACAACUUGUUUUAAGAUAAGAAAAAAAAGAAGUUGAACGUGGAUGUGCUUAGCGGUGUUUCAAAAAUGUUGUAACAACAAUAGUAGUAUAAAUAUUUAUUUACCGAGUCAGUGAUAUAUGGCGCCAAAGAGUGUGCAACUAUUCCGAAAAUAUGAAUGAACGAUACGCCCUGCGAUCUGACUGGCGUGGGCAGAAGUUCUGCUGCAUACUGAAGACCAACAUUGGCUGCCAUGUUCAGACAGAAUCGCGACAAUAUUGACAUUACUAAUUUCGCGAGCACUGGGGAAUAAAUUAAAAAAUACAAAAUUAAUCCUGGGUACACAAUACUUGAUUAUCGAUAUAUUUACUGGAAUGCAGCAUAAGUUCAGCGAUACUGAGUACACAGGUCAUUGCCAUCGUGAGAAAUCCGCAGAGUCUACGACCCCAUCGGUCGAGCAACAGGGCGAGUAAUAACCCAGCUGGAAGUUCUGUGGCACAGGCGAUCGAGAACGACACGAACACCGAGCUCUGGAUAAGUUUUAAUGAAUACACGUGACCGUCGAACGAGAUCAGGGUGAAACACCUACAA